rnacentral:tRNA from 1 species
GCGGUGGGUGACGGCUUAAACUAUAGGCCUCCGAAGCCGAAGGUCACAGGUUCGAAUCCUGUCGGGCGCGCCA